GACAGAGGGUGCAAACGUUGUUCGGAAUUACUGGGCGUAAAGCGCGUGUAGGCGGUCCGCUAAGUCGGGUGUGAAAGCCCUGGGCUCAACCCAGGAAGUGCACUCGAAACUGGCGGGCUAGAGUAUCGGAGAGGUUGGUGGAAUUCUCGGUGUAGAGGUGAAAUUCGUAGAUAUCGAGAGGAACACCGGUGGCGAAGGCGGCCAACUGGACGAAUACUGACGCUGAGACUCGAAAGCGUGGGGAGCAAACAGG
rnacentral:rRNA from 1 species